rnacentral:rRNA from 1 species
AACGAACGUUAGCGGUGUGGAUUAGGCAUGCAAGUCGAGCGCGAAAGCCCGCAAGGGUAAGUAAAGCGGCGAAAGGGUGAGUAAUACGUAAUCAACUUACCCCUGAGAUCGGAAUAACCGACGGAAACGUUGGCUAAUGCCGGAUGGCCCCUCCGGGAGGCAUCUCCUGGUCGGUAAACGGUGGCGUAAGCUGCUGCUCGGGGAGGGGGUUAUGGGAUAUCAGCUAGUUGGUGGGGUAAUGGCCUACCAAGGCGAUGACGUCUAGCCGGUCUGAGAGGAUGGUCGGCCACAUUGGGACUGAGACACUGCCCAAACUCCUACGGGAGGCUGCAGUCGAGGAUCUUCCGCAAUGGGCGAAAGCCUGACGGAGCGACACCGCGUACAGGAUGAAGGCCU